UACGGAGGGUGCAAGCGUUAAUCGGAAUUACUGGGCGUAAAGCGUGCGCAGGCGGUUCUAUAAGACAGAUGUGAAAUCCCCGGGCUCAACCUGGGAACUGCAUUUGUGACUGUAGAGCUGGAGUACGGCAGAGGGGGAUGGAAUUCCGCGUGUAGCAGUGAAAUGCGUAGAUAUGCGGAGGAACACCGAUGGCGAAGGCAAUCCCCUGGGCCUGUACUGACGCUCAUGCACGAAAGCGUGGGGAGCAAACAGG
rnacentral:rRNA from 1 species